GCCUACGGGAGGCAGCAGUGGGGAAUAUUGGACAAUGGGGGCAACCCUGAUCCAGCAAUGCCGCGUGUGUGAAGAAGGCCUGCGGGUUGUAAAGCACUUUUGGCAGGGAUGAAAAGCACUGGAUUAAUAACCCAGUGUGUUGACCUAACCUGCAGAAGAAGCACCGGCUAACUCUGUGCCAGCAGCCGCGGUAAUACAGAGGGUGCAAGCGUUAAUCGGAAUUACUGGGCGUAAAGCGCGCGUAGGCCGUCGAGUAAGUCGGAUGUGAAAUCCCCGGGCUUAACCUGGGAAUUGCAUUCGAUACUGCUUGGCUAGAGUGUGGAAGAGGGAAGCGGAAUUUCCGGUGUAGCGGUGAAAUGCGUAGAUAUCGGAAGGAACACCAGUGGCGAAGGCGGCUUCCUGGUCCAACACUGACGCUGAGGCGCGAAAGCGUGGGGAGCGAACAGGAUUAGAUACCCUGGUAGC
rnacentral:rRNA from 1 species